CCUACGGGAGGCAGCAGUGGGGAAUAUUGGACAAUGGGGGCAACCCUGAUCCAGCCAUGCCGCGUGUGUGAAGAAGGCCCUCGGGUUGUAAAGCACUUUCAGUGAGGAAGAACGCCUGGUGGUUAAUACCCAUCAGGAAAGACAUCACUCACAGAAGAAGCACCGGCUAACUCCGUGCCAGCAGCCGCGGUAAUACGGAGGGUGCGAGCGUGAAUCGGAAUUACUGGGCGUAAAGCGCGCGUAGGUGGCUUGAUAAGCCGGUUGUGAAAGCCCCGGGCUCAACCUGGGAACGGCAUCCGGAACUGUCAAGCUAGAGUGCAGGAGAGGAAGGUAGAAUUCCCGGUGUAGCGGUGAAAUGCGUAGAGAUCGGGAGGAAUACCAGUGGCGAAGGCGGCCUUCUGGACUGACACUGACACUGAGGUGCGAAAGCGUGGGUAGCAAACAGGAUUAGAUACCCUAGUAGUC
rnacentral:rRNA from 1 species